AUUGAACGCUGGCGGCAUGCCUUACACAUGCAAGUCGAACGGCAGCACGGGGGCAACCCUGGUGGCGAGUGGCGAACGGGUGAGUAACAUAUCGGAACAUACCCUAGAGUGGGGGAUAACGUAGCGAAAGUUACGCUAAUACCGCAUACGAUCUAAGGAUGAAAGUGGGGGAUCUUCGGACCUCAUGCUCAUGGAGUGGCCGAUAUCUGAUUAGCUAGUUGGUGAGGUAAAGGCUCACCAAGGCGACGAUCAGUAGCUGGUUUGAGAGAACGACCAGCCACACUGGAACUGAGACACGGCCCAGACUCCUACGGGAGGCAGCAGUGGGAAUAUUGGACAAUGGGCGAAAGCCUGAUCCAGCAAUGCCGCGUGAGUGAUGAAGGCCUUAGGGUUGUAAAGCUCUUUUACCCGGGAUGAUAAUGACAGUACCGGGAGAAUAAGCCCCGGCUAACCGUCCGUGCCAGCA
rnacentral:rRNA from 1 species